rnacentral:tRNA from 1 species
GGAGAGGUGGCGGAGUGGUCUAUCGCGGCGGUAUUGAAAACCGCUGGAGGCGCAAGCCUCCCGGGGGUUCGAAUCCCUCCCUCUCCGCCA